AUCUGGAUAGCUCAGUUGGUAGAGUGUGAGACUCUUAAUAUCAGGGUUGUGGGUUCCAGCCCCAUGUUGGGCA